rnacentral:lncRNA from 1 species
CCACAGUUCAAGAAGGACACUGACAAACUGGAACAUGUCCAGAGGAGGGCAACCAAAAUGGUCAAAGGCCUGGAAACGAUGCCUUAUGAGGAACGGCUAAGGGAGCUGGGCAUGUUUAGCCUGGAGAAGAGGAGGUUAAGGGGUGAUAUGAUAGCCAUGUUCAAAUAUAUAAAAGGAUGUCACAUAGAGGAGGGAGAAAGGUUGUUUUCUGCUGCUCCAGAGAAGCGGACACAGAGCAAUGGAUCCAAACUACAAGAAAGAAGAUUCCACCUAAACAUUAGGAAGAACUUCCUGACAGUAAGAGCUGUUCGACAGUGGAAUUUGCCGCCAAGGAGUGUGGUGGAGUCUCCUUCUUUGGAGGUCUUUAAGCAGAGGCUUGACAACCAUAUGUCAGGAGUGCUCUGAUGGUGUUUCCUGCUUGGCAGGGGGUUGGACUCGAUGGCCCUUGUGGUCUCUUCCAACUCUAUGAUUCUAUGAU